rnacentral:rRNA from 1 species
GACGAACCGUGCGAACGUUGUUCGGAAUCACUGGGCUUAAAGGGCGCGUAGGCGGGCCUCCCAGUCCGGGGUGAAAGCUUUCGGCUUAACCGGAAAAGUGCCUUGGAUACUGGAGGUCUUGAGGGAGGUAGGGGCAGCCGGAACUUCCGGUGGAGCGGUGAAAUGCGUAGAUAUCUGGAGGAACACCGAUGGCGAAGGCAGGUCUCUGGGCAUUAACUGACGCUGAGGAGCGAAAGCAUGGGGAGCGAACAGG